UACGUAUGGUGCAAGCGUUAUCCGGAUUUAUUGGGUUUAAAGGGUGCGUAGGCGGAUUGAUAAGUUAGAGGUGAAAUGUCCGAGCUCAACUCGGGAACUGCCUCUAAUACUGUUGAUCUAGAGAGUAGAUGCGGUAGGCGGAAUGUAUGGUGUAGCGGUGAAAUGCUUAGAGAUCAUACAGAACACCGAUUGCGAAGGCAGCUUACCAAUCUAUAUCUGACGUUGAGGCACGAAAGCGUGGGGAGCAAACAGG
rnacentral:rRNA from 1 species